GAACGCACAUUGCGCCCUCUGGUAUUCCGUAGGGCAUGCCUGUCUGAGCGUCAACUCCCACCCUCUCAAGUCUUUCUUUUGCUAGGAGAUUUGGAUUGCUUUGAGGAAGUAUCAUUUUUUUUAUGCUGCUCCUCAGAAAUUUAUGGGCAGUAUGGUCAAACCUGAACCAGGCGUAAUAAUUCUAUAAAAUCGUCUAAUGAAAGGAAAGUCUGUAUUAGUCUUUAACCAAUUUCUAUUUUUUUUUUUUGGGUGACCUCAGAUCAGGUAGGGAUACCCGCUGAACUUAAG
rnacentral:misc_RNA from 1 species